AUACUUACCUGGUGCCAGGGCCUCAUUUAUCACCGAGAAGGGGCCCCCAAGGGCGAGGCGCAGGCAUUGCACUGCGCUCGCGUGGACCCCUGCCACUACCCGAACCUGGGGCAGAUGGGGCAUGCAGAUUGC
rnacentral:snRNA from 1 species